rnacentral:rRNA from 1 species
UACGUAGGGUGCAAGCGUUGUCCGGAAUUAUUGGGCGUAAAGAGCUCGUAGGCGGUCUGUCGCGUCGGAUGUGAAAAUCCAGGGCUCAACCCUGGACCUGCAUUCGAUACGGGCUAGCUAGAGUGUGGUAGGGGAGAUCGGAAUUCCUGGUGUAGCGGUGAAAUGCGCAGAUAUCAGGAGGAACACCGGUGGCGAAGGCGGAUCUCUGGGCCAUUACUGACGCUGAGGAGCGAAAGCGUGGGGAGCGAACAGG